UGACAAGGACGUGUUCUUCAUGUGUUUUUACCUGAGCAACCCUACUUCGCUUGAAAACAUCGAAUCAAAAUGGCUACCUGAAGUCCGCCAUAAUCGCCCUGAUGUUCCGAUUAUGCUGGUGGGAUGCAAACAGACCUUCCUAAAAGAGUGUCAGUAGAUGAUAUUACGUCGUUCGUCAAGCAACAUGGGCUGAAAUACAAGGAGACCAGCGCACGUUUACAGUCUGGGCUGAAUGACUGUUUUGAUCAAACGAUCGGCGAAGCUCUAGUCAUGCACACAAAGCCUAGACCCAAAGGAUUGUUUGGUUCCAAGAAGGCAGGGAAAACUCAUUAAACAGAUUGCGUUUACAUGAAUUGUCAUAGUAUAUAUUCGCAUUACUCGUACAAGAGUACCGGUAAAAAGCAAUUCUGAUUCAGCUACACUUUUGAUAACACCUAAAU